GCUCUCUGAUUCAGCGGCGGACGGGUGAGUAAUGCCUAGGAAUCUGCCUGAUAGUGGGGGACAACGUUUCGAAAGGAACGCUAAUACCGCAUACGUCCUACGGGAGAAAGCAGGGGACCUUCGGGCCUUGCGCUAUCAGAUGAGCCUAGGUCGGAUUAGCUAGUUGGUGAGGUAACGGCUCACCAAGGCGACGAUCCGUAACUGGUCUGAGAGGAUGAUCAGUCACACUGGAACUGAGACACGGUCCAGACUCCUACGGGAGGCAGCAGUGGGGAAUAUUGGACAAUGGGCGAAAGCCUGAUCCAGCCAUGCCGCGUGUGUGAGGAAGGUCUUCGGAUUGUAAAGCACUUUAAGUUGGGAGGAAGGGCAUUAACCUAAUACGUUAGUGUUUUGACGUUACCGACAGAAUAAGCACCGGCUAACUUCGUGCCAGCAGCCGCGGUAAUACGAAGGGUGCAAGCGUUAAUCGGAAUUACUGGGCGUAAAGCGCGCGUAGGUGGUUUGUUAAGUUGAAUGUGAAAGCCCCGGGCUCAACCUGGGAACUGCAUCCAAAACUGGCAAGCUAGAGUAUGGCAGAGGGUGGUGGAAUUUCCUGUGUAG
rnacentral:rRNA from 1 species